GUCUACGGCCAUGCCAUCCUGAACAAACCCAAUCCUGUCUGAUCUCAGAAGGUAAGCAGGGUUGGGCCUGGUUAGUACCUGGAUGAGAGACCACCUAGGAAGACCAAGUGCUAUAGGCA
rnacentral:rRNA from 1 species